rnacentral:rRNA from 1 species
UGUCGUCAGCUCGUGUCGUGAGAUGUUGGGUUAAGUCCCGUAACGAGCGCAACCCUUGUCCUUAGUUACCAGCACGUUAUGGUGGGCACUCUAAGGAGACUGCCGGUGACAAACCGGAGGAAGUGGGGAUGACGUCAAGUCAUCAUGGCCCUUACGGCCUGGGCUACACACGUGCUACAAUGGUCGGUACAAAGGGUUGCCAAGCCGCGAGGUGGAGCUAAUCCCAUAAAACCGAUCGUAGUCCGGAUCGCAGUCUGCAACUCGACUGCGUGAAGUCGGAAUCGCUAGUAAUCGUGAAUCAGAAUGUCACGGUGAAUACGUUCCCGGGCCUU